UACGAAGGGGGCUAGCGUUGCUCGGAAUCACUGGGCGUAAAGGGUGCGUAGGCGGGACUUUAAGUCAGGGGUGAAAUCCUGGAGCUCAACUCCAAAACUGCCUUUGAUACUGAGGAUCUUGAGUUCGGGAGAGGUGAGUGGAACUGCGAGUGUAGAGGUGAAAUUCGUAGAUAUUCGCAAGAACACCAGUGGCGAAGGCGGCUCACUGGCCCGAUACUGACGCUGAGGCACGAAAGCGUGGGGAGCAAACAGG
rnacentral:rRNA from 1 species